rnacentral:antisense_RNA from 1 species
CUUCACCGAGCCCAGCCACAGCGGCCGGCCCUCUGGCCGCCCCUGCCCGUAGGCGGAGGCGAGCGCGCCGGCCUC